rnacentral:rRNA from 1 species
CCUACGGGUGGCAGCUACGCAAUCUCAAGACCUUUCAUCUACGGUGUCAACGGAGAAGUCAGCGAAGCGGCUCAGGCAUUCAUCGACUUCGUCAUGAGCGACGAAGGCCAGGCCUUGAUUGAGGAAAACGGAUUCAUUCCGAUCAACUAACAAAAGGAAGAGCAACUUAUGAAAGGAUCCAGAACAAUGAAAGCCAAUGAACGAAUCAUUGAGAAUAUCAUCCGGAUCAGUGCCGCUGCGUCGGUCGCAGCGGUUGCUCUCAUUACGGUAUUCAUUUUCAUUUCAGGCAUGCCGGUGAUCGCAAAAACCGGUUUGUACAACUUCAUCACCGGAACAGACUGGAGCCCCACAUCCGGAAUAUAUGGAAUUCUGCCGUUGAUACCCUUGUAGUC